CCUACGGGAGGCAGCAGUGAGGAAUAUUGGUCAAUGGGCGCGAGCCUGAACCAGCCAUGCAGCGUGCAGGAUGACGGCCCUACGGGUUGUAAACUUCUUUUGUAAAAGAGUAAAGUGAGGCACGUGUGCCUUUUUGUAAGUACUUUAUGAAUAAGGAUCGGCUAACUCCGUGCCAGCAGCCGCGGUAAUACGGAGGAUCCGAGCGUUAUCCGGAUUUAUUGGGUUUAAAGGGUGCGUAGGUGGGUUGUUAAGUCAGUUGUGAAAUGUUGCGGCUUAACCGGAGAAUUGCAAUUGAUACUGGUAGUCUAGAGAACAGAUGAGGUAGGCGGAAUGCAUGGUGUAGCGGUGAAAUGCUUAGAGAUCACGAAGAACUCCGAUUGCGAAGGCAGCUUACCAAACUGCCACUGACAUUGAGGCUCGAAAGUGUGGGUAGCAAACAGGAUUAGAUACCCGGGUAGUC
rnacentral:rRNA from 1 species